rnacentral:lncRNA from 1 species
AACCAUCCGUCAGCCAUCAGCCAUCAGAUUCAGGCCGGAGGAGACCCCGACGGCGCAUGCGUAAAGAACGGCGGGCGCCAUGGAGAGGCUAUAGGAAAUCUCGUCCUGAACACUUCGUGCUCAGUACACAAGACGUCGAUACGUAGCAGGCAAGACGUCGACACAUGUCCCUGGCGGUGCUUGUGCCGGAAGCCUGAAGGGUAGCGAGGCAGCUGAUACCUUGUGCUUGCUCUUUUUGUGCAGCGUCGUCAGAACACCUGGACUGGU